rnacentral:ribozyme from 1 species
CACAUAGAUAGGAAAGGUAUCAAUACAAUUCAGUUUGAUUGUUACAUCAAUGCUUGACAUUCUUAGCACCGUCAAGCCUGAUUUAGCCUAAAAUAUGUCUCCUCUUCCGUCCUCUUAUCAGACGGAAG